GAGGAAUAUUGGUCAAUGGGCGCGAGCCUGAACCAGCCAAGUAGCGUGCAGGAUGACGGCCCUAUGGGUUGUAAACUGCUUUUGUAUGGGGAUAAAGUCAAUCACGUGUGAUUGUUUGCAGGUACCAUACGAAUAAGGACCGGCUAAUUCCGUGCCAGCAGCCGCGGUAAUACGGAAGGUCCGGGCGUUAUCCGGAUUUAUUGGGUUUAGAGGGAGCGUAGGCCGGAGAUUAAGUGUGUUGUGAAAUGUAGACGCUCAACGUCUGACUUGCAGCGCAUACUGGUUUUCUUGAGUACGCACAACGUUGGCGGAAUUCGUCGUGUAGCGGUGAAAUGCUUAGAUAUGACGAAGAACUCCGAUUGCGAAGGCAGCUGACGGGAGCGCAACUGACGCUUAAGCUCGAAGGUGCGGGUAUCGAACAGGAUUAGAUACCCUGGUAGUCCGCACAGUAAACGAUGGAUGCCCGCUGUUGGUACCUGGUAUCAGCGGCUAAGCGAAAGCAUUAAGCAUCCCACCUGGGGAGUACGCCGGCAACGGUG
rnacentral:rRNA from 1 species